GAUGAACGCUGUCGGCGUGCCUAAUACAUGCAAGUCGAGCGAACAGACGAGGAUCUUGCUUCUCUGACGCUAGCGGCGGACGGGUGAUUAACACGUGGCUAACCUACCUAUAAGACUGGGAUAACUUCGGGAAACCGGAUCUAAUAUCGGAUAAUAUAUUGAACCGCAUGGUUCAUUAGUGAAAGACGGUUUUGCUGUCACUUAUAGAUGGUACCGCGCCGGAUUAGCUAGUUGGUAAGGUAACGGCUUACCAAGGCGACGAUGCGUAGCCGACCUGAGAGGGUGAUCGGCCACACUGGAACUGAGACACGGUCCAGACUCCUACGGGAGGCAGCAGUAGGGAAUAUUCCGCAAUGGGCGAAAGCCUGACGGAGCAACGCCGCGUGUGUGAUGAAGGUCUUCGGAUCGUAAAACUCUGUUAUUAGGGAAGAACAAAUGUGUAAGUAACUAUGCACGUCUUGACGGUACCUAAUCAGAAAGCCACGGCUAACUACGUG
rnacentral:rRNA from 1 species